UAGCAUGAUGGCCAAAUAAAGUAGAGUGCAUCAAGUGAUAAGGUUGGGUUAAGAAGAGGCAAGUUGAUUCCAGAUAAGGUGUGACAUCAAAUAAGCAGAGUUUUGAGAAGUAAUAGAGGAUCGUAUUGACAUCCUCUGAGGUAUGCAACACAACCAAUUUUAAGAUACAAUCACUAAAGAAUAUGUGAUAGUUUAAGUUCAUCAAAUUUGCAAUCCUAUAGUUAUUGCCCUGCUACUAUACUAUUCGAGUUUUCCUCUGAAACAAAAAUGGAGCGGAAAAAGAUUUCAUUUCUCUCAAGCCUCUUCAAGUAAAUAAAAAGUCAUCACUUUACCUUAAGUAUCCAUCAUGUUGGAUACCUCCAAACUCUCUCAAUUAACAAUAUGAUAUGCCACUUACAUGCUUUAUGACAUAUUCUUAUCCAAGUAACAUUCACUCCUUCCACAACCAAGCUCAAGCCCACAGAUAGCGGGAUCAAUUAUUACUUUGUCUUAUGUAUACUGCGAAAAUUAUACUGUUCUCCUCCUGCUUUGAUAUGCUCUUUCUUGAGCCGAGGGUCUAUUGAAAACAACCUCUCUUCCACUUAAGAUAUGGAUAAGAUGCUCUAUUUGUGAGAAGUAUGUUGUUGUUGUACUCAAUUUGCUGAAAAUAGUUAUAGGGAGAGUUAAGGAAGCACAUGUACUAAAAAAAUAACUUCUAAAUUUUAGAUGAAAGAUCAUCACACACACAUAUACUAAGCAAAAAUAGAAGCAUUUUGGGCCAAAGAUUGCAAAAGGAGCUAACCUGUGAAUUGGAACAUGAGAACAACAACGACACUGAAGAGGAAACUCCUCUUUUGAGUGAAGCGGUGACUCUUGGAAUAUAAGCCACGUAGCUUAGCUUAUA
rnacentral:lncRNA from 1 species